UUCGAAGCGGAUCUUGAAGGAACUCAAGGAUUUACAGAAAGAUCCUCCCACAUCAUGCAGCGCUGGUCCUGUUGCUGAAGACAUGUUCCAUUGGCAAGCAACAAUUAUGGGUCCUCCUGAUAGUCCAUAUGCAGGCGGAGUGUUUCUAGUCACAAUUCAUUUUCCUCCAGACUAUCCAUUUAAACCUCCUAAGGUUGCAUUCAGGACAAAGGUCUUUCACCCCAAUAUCAACAGCAAUGGCAGCAUUUGCCUUGAUAUUUUGAAGGAGCAGUGGAGCCCUGCCCUUACCAUAUCCAAGGUUGUAAUCUUAAAUUGUACAUGUUAUUGGCUUGCCACAAGAUGCUUAUAAUGUUGUCAGCAGGUCUUACAUUUUGUAGGACCAUUAUGGUAAAUUCCGUCAUUAAUAAUUAUUGCAGGUGAAAAUAUUGGUUAAGGGCUAGGUUGAGCAACAUGGAAUGACAUUUCAUGCAGUAAAGGAAUUAAUACUCAGCUUGUUGAUAAAUUCUAAUUCCUUAGAAACCUCAACCCAUUUGAUGAAUUUUUGUCUUUUAAUGCUAUAUGAAGCUCGAGUGUCUCCUUUCAAAUCAAGAAUUUGAACACAAAAAGAUUUUAAACAUAAGUGAUAACUGUUACGGUUCCUUUUAGGUUGAAAGUGCAGUUCUGAUGGCUCCAUGUGCACAACAAUACACAGGUUUCUCGUGUACAAAGAAGCAAAGUACUGAAGUCUUUGAUUUUUGGUUAAGAAGAUUGAUGACUCAUCAACAUAUCCAUCACUCUUGUGUAUUCGUUUUCCUUGUAUAAAGGUUCUAGUUUAGAUAUGGAUAUUUGGUUAAAAGAGUCAACUGAGGCUUUAACUAAGCUCCUGAUUUCUGACAUUAUUUCGUGCUUCGGUGCAUAAUGUAGUUUUGACUUAUUUGUGAUUUAAGAAUCUUUUUAAUUUGCAUCUGUAUGAAACAACUGUUUCAUUGAUUUGUCAGGUGUUGCUUUCGAUUUGUUCUCUGUUGACGGACCCAAAUCCUGAUGACCCCUUGGUGCCAGAGAUUGCCCACAUGUACAAGACGGAUAGGAGCAAAUACGAGGCAACCGCAAGGAGCUGGACCCAGAAGUAUGCUAUGGGUUAACUGUGCUGCCUUGUGUGUGAUAGGGAGGGCUUCUUUCCCUGUGUCUUUGGUCUUUAAGUUAAAUUAUGUAUGAACGAUGAAGUGUUACCUGUGCCUCUUAAAAGCGGACCAAAAGGGAGAGGUCUGAUUUAUGCCCUUCUGAAACACAUUUGCUACUUUAAUUGUUUGUAUGAAAAGUUAUGUUUAGAACUUCGGUAAACUGCUUCCGAUGUCUCAUCGUCUCAACGUCACGUCUGUUUUUAACUUAAGUCACUUGGAAAAAUAUCACAUUGAAUGACGAUGAUAACGCUUCGGUUUUCAGAGGUGGAGGAAUCUCUGGAAGCUAGAUUUUGAAAGCUUCUAUGCUGUAACCUUGAAGUGUCUGCCUGAUUCUGUAGGGAACAUUUGGGAAGCUUGGGAACUAAUAUUUCAAUCUCUGGAGUACCCGAGUAGCCAUCAGUCGAGGAAUAUACAAGCGUGCUCUUUAUACGCGCAGGUCUGCAACACAGAUUUACUGUGGUAACAGGUAAUUAUUAGAGUAUAAAUUCCAGAAAAAAAAUAAUAGAAAAUAUGUCUUGGGAAUUGAAAUAGAACACCUGUAAAGCAACGGACAGGUCAUCGGUUGGGACAUGUAAGGGCAAGGGUCAGGGCCUUUAUCCUGGACUGGGCCUUGGGGUCCUUCAGCACAAAUCUGAACGGUGCAGUUUUGGGGCAUGUCUUCACCUUGAGCAUAGGUCUAGCCUCCCCCAAGAUACUUGAAAAACGAUGCAAGAAAUCCAGUUACCCAUAUAUGUGAUUUUUUGUUAACAAGGUUUGGCAGCUUUUUAGGUGAAUUACGGCAUCAAUGGGAUGGCUCGUGGUUUCAUUGCGUAGUUUUUUCUAAUUUAGACAGAUUGUGAAUCUUUCUGCCAAUAGAAGCGGAAACCAAUCGAUUGGGCAUGUUAAAUAUUUUAUUUCUGUGUCUCUGUAGAUAAAUC
rnacentral:misc_RNA from 1 species